UACGUAGGGUGCGAGCGUUGUCCGGAAUUAUUGGGCGUAAAGAGCUCGUAGGCGGUCUGUCGCGUCGGUCGUGAAAACUUGGGGCUUAACCCUGAGCUUGCGGUCGAUACGGGCAUGACUGGAGUUCGGCAGGGGAGAGUGGAAUUCCUGGUGUAGCGGUGAAAUGCGCAGAUAUCAGGAGGAACACCGGUGGCGAAGGCGGGUCUCUGGGCCGAUACUGACGCUGAGGAGCGAAAGCGUGGGGAGCGAACAGG
rnacentral:rRNA from 1 species